rnacentral:rRNA from 1 species
CAGCCCCUCGAGUGGUGGGGAUGAUUAUUUGGCCUAAAGCGUCCGUAGCCGGCCGAGUAAGUCCCCCGUUAAAUCCAGCGUCUCAAGCGUUGGACUGCGGGAGAUACUACUUGGCUAGAGAGUGGGAGAGGUCAGCGGUAUUCUGGGGGUAGGGGCGAAAUCCUUUGAUCCCCGGAGGACCACCAGUGGCGAAGGCUGCUGACUAGAACACGUCUGACGGUCAGGGACGAAAGCUGGGGUAGCGAACCGGAUUAGAUACCCUGGUAGUCC